CCCCAAGGUGUAUUGUGUUCCUGGGCCAGGAAUCAGAUCUGAGCUGCAAUUGCAGCUCAUGCCACAGCUGCAGCAAUGCCAGAUCCUUAACCCACUUUGCUGGGCUGGGGAUCGAAGCUUUGUCCCAGCAUUCCAGAGACAGUGCUGAUCUGAUUGCAUCACAGCAGGAUCUCCUAAUUCUGUGAUAAUUUAUAAAAGUAAACAAUGAUCAAAUGAGUUAAAUAUCUGUCAAAGAAUAAAUUAGGAUAUCAUUGUUCCUUCAUAUCACUUAUUCUAUAAGAUUUAACUGACGUCUUUGGCAGUUUAUGCUUCUUGAUAAACAUUUAUUUAAGUCAACUAGUUUUCAUUCAUGCCAUUGGAUAUACCUCAUUUUAAAAACUAUUUUUAUUAAGAACAUGGAACUGUGUGCCCUGUAAGUGGCUAUAUUUUGAAAAAUAAUUGAAAAACUAAAAUUUAUCCACUGUCAAUAGUUUUAUUAUAGUUAACUGGGUAAAGUUGAUUAAAUUGUGGUUCCAUUUUUACAUUAAGGGAAAUCUCAGUUCUGAAAGUAGAGAGAUAUAAAUGUGUUUGUGUUCUCACACCUAUGGAGGAAAUGUGAAUAUUUUUAUGGUUGUUAGUAGCUAGUAUCUGGUACUUACAUGCCAAACACAAUACUGAAAGCUCUGUGUCCAUUAUCUCAUAUUAUUUCUGUCUCUGUGAAGGAGGUACUAUUAUAUUCCUGUUUUUCAGCUAAGGAAACCAAGGCUAUAGAAAGUUAAAUAAUAGGAGUUCCCGUCGUGGCGCAGUGGUUAACGAAUCCAACUAGGAACCAUGAGGUUGCGGGUUCGGUCCCUGCCCUUGCUCAGUGGGUUAACGAUCCAGCGUUGCCGUGAGCUGUGGUGUAGGUUGCAGACGCGGCUCGGAUCCCGCGUUGCUGUGGCUCUGGCGAAGGCCGGUGGCUACAGCUCCGAGUGGACCCCUAGCCUGGGAACCUCCAUAUGCCGCAGGAGCGGCCCAAGAAAUAGCAAAGAGACAAAAAAAAAAAAAAAAAAAAAAAAGUUAAAUAAUAGUGAUACAAAGAGGAAAAUUAUAAACAUUUUUAAACUUUUUCUCUUCCAAUCAGCCAGGUUCCAAAGUUUCCUUAUUCAUUGUGCAGACAUUUGACAGCCAUCUUUAUUCUAGGACUGAGUCCACCCCUUACAUCAUCAUCAUCACUUCCUGCUUUCAUGUGAAGUAUCUUUUUUCCCCUUCUUUUUUUAUAGCUCUAUUGAAGUGUAAUUUCCAUACCAAAACAGUCACCUGUUAUAACUCUACAAGUCAGUACUUUUUAGUAGAUUUCAGGAGUUGUGCAACCAUCACACAGUUCAGUUUAGAAUGAUUCCAUCACCCAUAAAAGUAACCUCACGCUCAUUUGUAGCCAUUCCCUCCCUGCUCCAGUCCCUAGCUCUAGACAACCACUGUUGUGCUUUCUCUUUGUAUAUAUUUACCAUUUCUGGGUAUUUCAUGUAAAUGGGAUCAUGCAGUAUGUCAUCUUGUGCAGCUGGCUUCUUAGCGUGCUGUUGAGAUUUACCCAGGUUGUAGCAUAUAUGAGUAGUUGGCUCUCUUAAUUGCUGGGUAACAUUUCAUUGUAUGGAUAGACCACUUUUUGUUUCUCUUUCCCCAAGUUGAUAAUGACUUGAACUGUUUUUAGUAUUUGCCUGGGAUGAAUAAUGCUGCAGUGAGAUUCAUGUACAAGCCUUUGUGAAGACGUAUGUUUUCCUUUUCCUCAAGUAGAUAUCUGGAAGAGAAGUCGCUGCAACAGUGAUAUGGAUUAACUUCUUUUCUAGUGCUAUGGUGGAAAUAACUGAGUCUCUGAAACAAAACAAACAGGUUUGAAUACAUGAUUUUUGAGGAAGUCAUUUAAUCUUCCAAGGCUCAGAUUUUUACCUGUAAGACUGGAUGAACAAUGGAAAAAUCAUACGGUUAUGAAGAUGUAUUUAUCAUUAUUAAAUUAACCCAAAGUGAUAUCAGUGACAUUGGACACCCUUCUUACUUGAGAAAGAGAAAUCUCUCUGGACAUUUUUAUAAGUGAAUUCAUCUUCAUCGCACCUGUCAUCUGCUCCCGCUUAAGCCAGAAAUGAAGGGCACAUAUCAAGACCGCGUCUCAGCAUCUCUCUUUUCCAGAGCAACAGUGCCCUGUCCCUGAUGACCCCGUCUGCCGCAGCUGAUCGCACACUGACCUUGGCUAGUCUCAAAUCCAUUCAGCAGGACCUGCGUGCAUUCUUGUAGACAGAAGCUGGAGGAACAGAUGGAGGACUUGGCCAUGGAACAUGCUUAUUAUCACGGAGAAUGUUCCUCCUCUUCCCGACUUGGUGCCCCAAGCAUGGGGGUGGGUUGAGGCGAGCAGAAGAUCCUAGUGACUCACAAGCUUCCAGGGAAGGAAUCCACAGAUGGCAACCACUGAGGUCACAUUUUCCCCCCACCACCGCUUGAGCACUACGUUCUUGACAUAGGUGCAGGGCUGCUGUGUUGCUAAGCACCAGGCAAGGAAGGCGUUGCAGAUUUCAGAUUUCUGGUGAUGACACAUGCCUAAGUGGCACCAGACAGGCACACCGAGUGCUUUGGUGACAUGACAGAUGGUGAGGAGAGGCGUGACAGAGCGAUCCAUGUGUCUGCAUCUGUGGAAACUUUCCACUGCUCACGGGUCAGGCCACUGAUUAGAUGGCACAUCCUAUUAUUUAUAUAUUAUCUACAAAUGGACAUCCUAUGGUUACUCAUGGUGGGUAAUAAUCACCCACUCUGAAGCUCAGGAGGUAUGGCCCAGCUGAGGCUGUGGCUGGCAUCCAAGAGGAGAAGAGAGCAGCUCUGGGUGGGCCCAGUGGGUGGCCAAGCCCAGGCCUGGCUGUCAGAGUGGAGUAUGAUUCUGGGGUGUGCAAGUCAGAGCCACUGAGAUUAGCCUCAGACAAACCAUCCCGAGGUCUCAUCUGUUUUCCACAGUUGCUUCUCUACUCAGCACCGUGUCUGCAUCUCAUGACAACCAUCAUUUCAUCCAUCUGCCCCUUUCCUAUCAAGAAAAUAGAUUGGAUGUGUGUGCACAGAGGCAAAGUCAGAGUUCUGAAAUGCACCUCAGCAACUGUACCAGAUUUGAUGAAUUUAGCAGCUCUAAGCCAGAAACAAAAGCAAAAAAAAAGCAAACACUACUUUUUUACCUUAAUAAUACUCUUUUAAAUAGAAGGGCUUCAGAAGUUACUAAAUUCACCACAUCCCUGUCAGAAACCUAAUGCAUGCUGCCCAGCUGUAGAAAAUUAAGAAAAUGAUGACACCGGUAUAAGCCAUUCUUAGCAAAGACCUUCCUGUGCUACUACUACGGCUACUCUUUUUAACCUAGAGUUCAGUCUACAGGAGCCUAAGGAAAGCUCUUGGUUACCAUCAGGAUCAUCAAAUGACACCAUUAAAAACUAUUUUGUUCUUAUCUAGCCCAACUCUUCCAUUUCUCAGCGUGGAAACAGAGAGGGAGGGAAUAUGUGCUCUUGGACAGCUCAAGACUGGUGUUGGCUCCACGUUGGGUUUGGGUGAACUUGAUGUUGGGUUUUGGGCAGGGCCAAUCACACUGCUGGCUCCAGGAGGCCCGAAGCAUGGAUGGGGAGUAAGAAAACUAGGAUGGAAAAUAAGGGGAGGAAAGACAAAAGUGGAAGAGGAAAA